rnacentral:rRNA from 1 species
UACGUAGGGUGCAAGCGUUAAUCGGAAUUACUGGGCGUAAAGCGUGCGCGGGCGGCUAUGCAAGACAGAUGUGAAAUUCCCGGGCUCAACCUGGGAACUGCAUUUGUGACUGCAUGGCUAGAGUACGGUAGAGGGGGAUGGAAUUCCGCGUGUAGCAGUGAAAUGCGUAGAUAUGCGGAGGAACACCGAUGGCGAAGGCAAUCCCCUGGACCUGUACUGACGCUCAUGCACGAAAGCGUGGGGAGCAAACAGG